rnacentral:rRNA from 1 species
GGACUACCGGGGUAUCUAAUCCUGUUUGAUCCCCACGCUUUCGUGCAUCAGCGUCAGUUACAGUUUCGUCAGCUGCCUUCGCAAUCGGUGUUCUGUGUCAUCUCUAUGCAUUUCACCGCUACAUGACACAUUCCGCCAACGACAAAUGUACUCAAGCUCUACAGUAUCAAUGGCACGUUCGUUGUUAAGCAACGAGAUUUCACCACUGACUUAUAAAGCCGCCUACGCACCCUUUAAACCCAAUAAAUCCGGAUAACGCUUGCAUCCUUCGUAUUACCGCGGCUGCUGGCAC